UGGAUAGCUCAGUCGGUAGAGCAUGAGACUCUUAAUCUCAGGGUCUGUGCGUUUGAGCCUGAUGUUGAGCAA